GACGAACGCUGGCGGCGUGCCUAAUACAUGCAAGUUGAGCGCUGAAGGUUGGUACUUGUACCGACUGGAUGAGCAGCGAACGGGUGAGUAACGCGUGGGGAAUCUGCCUUUUAUCGGGGGACAACAUUUGGAAACGAAUGCUAAUACCGCAUAAAAACUUUAAACACAAGUUUUAAGUUUGAAAGAUGCAAUUUCAUCACUCAAAGAUGAUCCCGCGUUGUAUUAGCUAGUUGGUGAGGUAAAGGCUCACCAAGGCGAUGAUACAUAGCCGACCUGAGAGGGUGAUCGGCCAAAAUGGGAAUGAGAAAAGGCCCAAACUCCUAAGGGAGGCAGCAGUAGGGAAUCUUCGGAAAAGGACGAAAGUCUGAACGAGAAAAGCCGAGGGAGUGAAGAAGGUUUUAGGAUCGUAAAACUCUGUUGGUAGAGAAGAAAGUUGGUGAGAGUGGAAAGCUCAUCAAGUGACGGUAACUACACAGAAAGGGACGGCUAACUACGUG
rnacentral:rRNA from 1 species